GCAGUAGCCACGGGAAUACAGAGGGUGCGAGCGUUAAUCGGAUUUACUGGGCGUAAAGCGUGCGUAGGCGGCUUUUUAAGUCGGAUGUGAAAUCCCUGAGCUUAACUUAGGAAUUGCAUUCGAUACUGGGAAGCUAGAGUAUGGGAGAGGAUGGUAGAAUUCCAGGUGUAGCGGUGAAAUGCGUAGAGAUCUGGAGGAAUACCGAUGGCGAAGGCAGCCAUCUGGCCUAAUACUGACGCUGAGGUACGAAAGCAUGGGGAGCAAACAGGAUUAGAUACCCGCGUAGUCCCUGUCUCUUAUAC
rnacentral:rRNA from 1 species